AACGCACAUUGCGCCUUCUGGUAUUCCGGGAGGCAUGUCUGUCUGAGCGUCAUGAACACCCCCUCGGGAACGCAUUUACUUGCGUUCUCCGGUCCUGGGUCCCGGUCCGCCCUCGCGCAGCCGAGUCCUCAAAUCGGCGAGUUUGCGAGCCUGUUCCUCCGGGUCUCAAAGCGUAGUAGAAAAUGCGAUCGCUUGGCCUGGUGGAACGCGGCCUUGCCUCGAACACACUCUCACGAGUCUUGACCUCAGAUCAGACAAGGAUACCCGCUGAACUUAA
rnacentral:misc_RNA from 1 species